AGAAGUUCAUCAAGAUCGCGGCCCUCUGCAAGCAGAACCAGGACCUGCUGUCUUUCUACGCCGUGGUCAUGGGGCUGGAUAACGCCGCUGUCAGCCGCCUUCGACUCACCUGGGAGAAGCUGCCAGGGAAAUUCAAGAACUUGUUUCGCAAAUUUGAGAACCUGACGGACCCCUGCAGGAACCACAAAAGCUACCGAGAAGUGAUCUCCAAAAUGAAGCCCCCUGUGAUUCCCUUCGUGCCUCUGAUCCUCAAAGGUGAGAGAGUUACUCCCAAGCUGUGCCACUUCCACCCAUGCUUCCCUUCUCCUAUGCCCUGCUUCUGACUUCCAGCCCCCUCUCGACUCAGCCCUGAGUACCCACCUGGAGAGGAGACCCCCACCACAGACGGAGUGGGUUCUGGGGAAGAGCGGGGUCCUCGGGUGCAGUGGCCCCUUUCGAACUCCUCUCUUAUCCUUUCCUCACAUUGGAUUCUCUCCACAUCCCCUAGACCUGACUUUCCUGCACGAAGGGAGUAAGACCCUUGUAGAU
rnacentral:sRNA from 1 species